GUUAAAUCUUAUGAAUGCACGUUUGCUUUAGGAGAACGUUUCUUAUUGAGGCAGUAAACUACAAGCGUGUAUGCCUGUGAAAAAGAACUUGCUUUUUCAAAUUAAAUUUUGUUUUCUUUGAUGCUUGUCUUUAUCUAUUUUACUCUGCUACUAAUAACUGAAAGAACUGAAAAAAUAAUGUAUUUCUGAAAGUCACUUGCACCCAGAAAAGAUGAUACCUCGUGUAUUUUUAUUUAAAGGAUUGGUGGAACUGUACUUCCUAUACAAAAUUUUACCGAUCUUUGAAUAUACUUGUACAUGAUUGGCUGUACUCCUACAUCUAUUGUGAUAUGUACGCUAUUUUGAAAAGCAGAACUGUUGCUAUGUUGUCAGUUUUUAUGCUAUCUGCAAUUGUUCACGAAUAUAUCGUAGCCAUUUCUCUCAGAUUUAUAUUCCCUCCUUUAUUCACAUUAUUUUACAUAGCUGGUAUUAUAUUCAUUUUUAUGACUCGAAGAAGAACCUCAAACUUCUGGAACUUUUUCCUUUGGUUUACUUUGUUGCUAGGAUAUGGACUUUUACUAGUUUUCUACUCUUUGGAAAUGUCUGCCAGGAUCAACUGCC